rnacentral:lncRNA from 1 species
CAAACCUCAAAAACUAGUCACCGGCCAAGAGGUGGACUGCGAUCGCAACUCGAAUCUACAAGCUCGAUGUACGACUGAAUGAGACCUCGGACAAUGAUUCCAAUAAAUAACCAGUAUAAAUAGUUAUUUGAACUAAAUUAGAAAACUCAAAAGUCACGGGAAAAGGGAUCGAAAUGAGCUUUUGGACUCUUACUAUUUCCAGCUUUUACUUGUUUUAUUUUCUUUACUGUUGUCGAUUUGUCUUUCAUUUUGGGCUGAAGGUCGUCAGCUGGUGGAGGUAUGGUUGCCGUUGAUUUUUGCUGCUUUGGUUUCAAAUUCUGGAGAUAUUUUCCGUUGAAUAAGAAGAAACAAUGAAUGUUGUAAUUGAAAGCAGAUGAGCUCAAGGGUCGUUGGUUUUGGUCUGGUUGUUGGCUAAAGAAGGAGAAUGGGGGUUUUCCAUUUGGGUUGCUGCUUGGGUUGAAGAAGAGGAGAUCGGCGUUGCCAGUUGUUGGAGAAGGGAGGGCGACAGUCCUAGGGUGGUCCGGCGGCUGAAGUUGUAGUAUUUUCCGGCGGGUCUGGUCUCUUGGGGUUCUUUUGGUGAUGGGACUGCGUUGUGGUGUUGUUGAUAUAUCAAGGGUUCCAAAAUGAGGUCUGUUCAGAUGGAGUGAAGGGAAAGGUGGUGGCGUCGUGGUGGUUCAGGCAAGUUUUUUGGUUAUGCAUUCUAGGGUUUGUGUUGUUGUUGGUUAAAGAAG